rnacentral:rRNA from 1 species
UGAGGAAUAUUGGUCAAUGGGCGCAAGCCUGAACCAGCCAAGUCGCGUGAAGGAAGACGGCCCUAUGGGUUGUAAACUUCUUUAGGGUGGGAACAAAGGACGCCACGCGUGGCGAGAUGAGUGUACCACCAGAAUAAGCAUCGGCUAACUCCGUGCCAGCAGCCGCGGUAAUACGGAGGAUGCGAGCGUUAUCCGGAUUUAUUGGGUUUAAAGGGUGCGUAGGCGGUUUGUCAAGUCAGCGGUCAAACUGCGGGGCUUAACCUCGUAUUGCCGUUGAAACUGGCUGACUAGCGUGGCGUCGAGGUGUGCGGAAUGCGUUGUGUAGCGGUGAAAUGCAUAGAUAUGACGCAGAACUCCGAUUGCGAAGGCAGCACACCGGGCGCCUACGGACGCUGAGGCACGAAAGCGUGGGUAUCGAACAGG